rnacentral:tRNA from 1 species
GGUCCCAUAGUUUACGAUUGGUUAGAACUCCCGCCUCUCAAGCGGAAGAAUCGGGUUCGACUCCCGAUGGGACUG